rnacentral:rRNA from 1 species
GAUGAACGCUGGCGGCGUGCCUAAUACAUGCAAGUCGAGCGAACGGACGAGAAGCUUGCUUCUCUGAUGUUAGCGGCGGACGGGUGAGUAACACGUGGAUAACCUACCUAUAAGACUGGGAUAACUUCGGGAAACCGGAGCUAAUACCGGAUAAUAUUUUGAACCGCAUGGUUCAAAAGUGAAAGACGGUCUUGCUGUCACUUAUAGAUGGAUCCGCGCUGCAUUAGCUAGUUGGUAAGGUAACGGCUUACCAAGGCAACGAUGCAUAGCCGACCUGAGAGGGUGAUCGGCCACACUGGAACUGAGACACGGUCCAGACUCCUACGGGAGGCAGCAGUAGGGAAUCUUCCGCAAUGGGCGAAAGCCUGACGGAGCAACGCCGCGUGAGUGAUGAAGGUCUUCGGAUCGUAAAACUCUGUUAUUAGGGAAGAACAUAUGUGUAAGUAACUGUGCACAUCUUGACGGUACCUAAUCAGAAAGCCACGGCUAACUACGUGCCAGCAGCCGCGGUAAUACGUAGGUGGCAAGCGUUAUCCGGAAUUAUUGGGCGUAAAGCGCGCGUAGGCGGUUUUUUAAGUCUGAUGUGAAAGCCCACGGCUCAACCGUGGAGGGUCAUUGGAAACUGGAAAACUUGAGUGCAGAAGAGGAAAGUGGAGUUCCAUGUGUAGCGGUGAAAUGCGCAGAGAUAUGGAGGAACACCAGUGGCGAAGGCGACUUUCUGGUCUGUAACUGACGCUGAUGUGCGAAAGCGUGGGGAUCAAACAGGAUUAGAUACCCUGGUAGUCCACGCCGUAAACGAUGAGUGCUAAGUGUUAGGGGGUUUCCGCCCCUUAGUGCUGCAGCUAACGCAUUAAGCACUCCGCCUGGGGAGUACGACCGCAAGGUUGAAACUCAAAGGAAUUGACGGGGACCCGCACAAGCGGUAGAGCAUGUGGUUUAAUUCGAAGCAACGCGAAGAACCUUACCAAAUCUUGACAUCCUUUGACAACUCUAGAGAUAGAGCCUUCCCCUUCGGGGGACAAAGUGACAGGUGGUGCAUGGUUGUCGUCAGCUCGUGUCGUGAGAUGUUGGGUUAAGUCCCGCAACGAGCGCAACCCUUAAGCUUAGUUGCCAUCAUUAAGUUGGGCACUCUAAGUUGACUGCCGGUGACAAACCGGAGGAAGGUGGGGAUGACGUCAAAUCAUCGUGCCCCUUAUGAUUUGGGCUACACACGUGCUACAAUGGACAAUACAAAGGGCAGCGAAACCGCGAGGUCAAGCAAAUCCCAUAAAGUUGUUCUCAGUUCGGAUUGUAGUCUGCAACUCGACUACAUGAAGCUGGAAUCGCUAGUAAUCGUAGAUCAGCAUGCUACGGUGAAUACGUUCCCGGGUCU